UAUCAUCAUUAAUUAAUCGCUGAACCUCUGGAGGUGGAGGAGGAUCGAUCGAAUGAGGCGGAGCUUCUGUGCCUGUGCCACCGUCUUCGGCCUGUGGACGAGUUGAUCGACAUUAUCAACGUGCGGAUCGGCGAUUGUAAAAUCGAUCGUGUUUGUCGUUUUUUUUCUGUCUGCGCAUGUACCUCAGCCUCAGUCGUGUAAGGUUCUCGUCCCCAUUCUUCCGGAGCACUGCGGCGGAGGAAGUGCACUGUCGCCCGUAAGCCGCCGUUGUGUUGGAGGAGAGGGGAUUUUACUGAUUCUUGGAGUGCAUAACAAUACAUGAUCAAAGCAAACGCCUUCCUGCAGUUGAACAGUAAGUUGUACCCAACCCAAGCUCGAUCGGAUCAGAUCAUGGCAUGACCAAAAUUUCAUCAUAUAUAUAUAUAUAUAUGAAUGUGUGUAUAGUAGUAUGGAGACUGAAUGAGUUCGUUCAUGACCUCCGGGAAGGUAGAGAUCCCCCGGCGAGAAAAGCGGCCAAGAAGGCGAGGGACUCGCCUGGUUUGAAUAUGGGGACAGCAUGGCCAGCUCCUCUAAACGUUGCAAAUUACCAGGGUCUCCACGACGCCUUGAUCGGAAGCCCCAACAAGCUCAAACUGUAUCGAGUCGACAGCACAGGAACCCGGCCAUCAGUGUCUCCGCUGCAUCGACAACAAGAUCAUGACAAGAUGAUGAGUGAGCUA